rnacentral:sRNA from 1 species
GCCAGGUUUGGUGGCUCAUGCCUGUAAUCCCAGCAGCUCGGGAGGCUGAGGCAGGAGGAUUGCAAGUUCAAAGCCAGCCUCAGCAAAAGCUAAGUGCUAAGCACUCAGUGAGACCCUAUCUCUU